CUUGUCCAAGGAAGGACAAGCUGUCUCACCUCUCUGAAGCUCAGUUUCCUCAGCUGUAAAACUAGCAGAAAGAUCAUGCAGGCUGCAGGUUCUUUGUAACAGGCCAAGAGACAGCAAAGUUGGACACGCCAAAGAUUCGUCGAAUAACAAGGGACACAUGAAACAUUCUUGAGAUGAUGGGUCUGAGCAAUCCAUUAUCCAUCAGAUGAGGAGACCACGGCCCAGGGAAGACAGCAGGAGCAGGUGGCUGCAGAAGGCGAUCAGGCCUGCGGCUGACAGAAGGCUCAGCAGCACCAGGACUGGGGCCAGUAUGCGGACCAUCGGGAUGGACACCCUGGAGACGAGACGCAAGGAGCCUAGUGGCUGUUACCAGAUAAGCCAGAGUCUAUGUCCUUUGGGGGUCCCAGGCACAGGCUGAGAAAGCCAAUCCCUAGUGUGGAAUCCAAUUCAAUGCAGCAGAGACUUGUGGGGGGUGGUGGUGCGGGGGGGUGGUAUUUAGUGCUACUGGCUCUUGACAAACAUUAUGUAAUUAGCGCAGACCCCGGAGCCAGGCUGUCUAGGUUCAAACUCUAGCUCCACCACCUUUCUAUACCUUGGAUAAGUGACUAAACCUCCCAGGGUGUCAAUUUCCUCCUCUGUAAAAUGGCUGUGGUGAGGAUCAAAUGGGUGAGGAUGUGUAAAGCGCAUAGUUCAGUGCCACACACAUGCCAGGCACCACGUCAAUGUUAGCUGUUAAAUUCCACAACCCCUGUAUAACUAGGUAGGAGUGGAUCAAUUUCACACUGGAGAAACUGACACCUGAAGCAAUGAGCGACUCGUUAGGUCAUGCAGUGGUGUGUGGGGAAGUUCCCGGUGGCCUGUAUCUGGGCUGGUGUCACUGGCAUGUGGGGCAUCCUGGCAUUCUUACUGUGAGUCAAGCCAUGUCCUUUCUCUCUCCCAAGGAGAUCAGAGGGCACUAGGGACCACGAUGUCCCAUCAGCCCUGUCAGGUGUGGAACGGAUCCCCGCCCCCAUUGCCAACCCAGGAUUCACUUUCAGCAGGGCCUGAACCUGCCAGCAGCUGCCUGGAUGUCGGUAGCCAAGUGCAUUUACAACCCCCAAGAACCAAUCCUUCAGGCUGGGACUCCAGUUGUAAGGAGUUGGUGAGAUCGUGUUAAACUGUCGAUGGCUGGAAAUUGGCCAUGGGAAUUGGACCACAGAAAUGGACACCACAGAAAUUGGAAAACACCACAAAAUGACAGCAUCCCCAGCCUGUUAAACAUUUACCAGCACAUCACUGUCGUCAGUCUUCUUCAUUUUCAACAUCCCAACUGCCAUCAGAGAGAGGCCAAUAGAGUCCGAUAUAGGACGAUAAUAUAGCAAUACACAUGUCAUACACAAAUAAAGAAUUACAAAUGAGGGUAAACCUAAAACACAAGCGAACUUGAUCAUAACUGGUAGAAAUGACAUGUGAACACUGAUAAGAAUUGGAAGAGAUAAGAGAAUCUUGUAAAUAAUGAAGAACAGAUUCAAUGUGGUUCGAUGCUGCUGCUAUUUGGCAAGUUUAACUUUAUUUCCUCAAAUUAAAGAUCCAUGGAUAAAGGAAUAAAAAAAAAAUAGGGGCUAUGGUGGUAGGGAUGGGCC
rnacentral:lncRNA from 1 species